rnacentral:rRNA from 1 species
UGGGGAAUAUUGCACAAUGGAGGAAACUCUGAUGCAGCAACGCCGCGUGGAGGAUGACGCAUUUCGGUGUGUAAACUCCUUUUAUAUGGGAAGAUAAUGACGGUACCAUAUGAAUAAGCACCGGCUAACUCCGUGCCAGCAGCCGCGGUAAUACGGAGGGUGCAAGCGUUACUCGGAAUCACUGGGCGUAAAGCGCGCGCAGGCGGCCUUUUAAGUUGGAUGUGAAAGCCUAUGGCUCAACCAUAGAACUGCAUCCAAAACUAUCAGGCUAGAGUGUGGGAGAGGAAGAUGGAAUUAGUUGUGUAGGGGUAAAAUCCGUAGAGAUAACUAGGAAUACCAAAAGCGAAGGC